CCUACGGGAGGCAGCAGCAGGGAAUAUUGUGCAAUGAACGAAAGUUUGACACAGCGACACCGCGUGUGGGAUGACGGAUCUAGGUUUGUAAACCACUUUCAGGAGGGAAGAAAAUGACGGUACCUCCACAAGAAGCCCCGGCCAACUACGUGCCAGCAGCCGCGGUAAUACGUAGGGGGCGAGCGUUGUCCGGAUUUAUUGGGCGUAAAGAGCUCGUAGGCGGUUCAACAAGUCGGUCGUGAAAGUUCAGGGCUCAACCCUGAAAUGUCGAUCGAUACUGUUGUGACUAGGAUACGGUAGAGGUGAGUGGAAUUCCGAGUGUAGCGGUGAAAUGCGUAGAUAUUCGGAGGAACACCAAUAGCGAAGGCAGCUCACUGGGCCGCUAUCGACGCUGAGGAGCGAAAGCUAGGGGAGCAAACAGGAUUAGAUACCCUGGUAGUCCUAGCCGUAAACAAUGGAUACUAGAUGUUGGGCAGAUCGACCUGUUCAGUAUUAAAGCUAACGCGUUAAGUAUCCCGCCUGGGAAGUAUGCGCGCAAGCGUGAAACUCAAAGGAAUUGACGGA
rnacentral:rRNA from 1 species